rnacentral:rRNA from 1 species
GAUGAACGCUGGCGGCGUGCCUAAUACAUGCAAGUCGAGCGAACGGACGAGAAGCUUGCUUCUCUGAUGUUAGCGGCGGACGGGUGAGUAACACGUGGAUAACCUACCUAUAAGACUGGGAUAACUUCGGGAAACCGUAGCUAAUACCGGAUAAUAUUUUGAACCGCAUGGUUCAAAAGUGAAAGACGGUCUUGCUGUCACUUAUAGAUGGAUCCGCGCUGCAUUAGCUAGUUGGUAAGGUAACGGCUUACCAAGGCAACGAUGCAUAGCCGACCUGAGAGGGUGAUCGGCCACACUGGAACUGAGACACGGUCCAGACUCCUACGGGAGGCAGCAGUAGGGAAUCUUCCGCAAUGGGCGAAAGCCUGACGGAGCAGCGCCGCGUGAGUGAUGAAGGUCUUCGGAUCGUAAAACUCUGUUAUUAGGGAAGAACAUAUGUGUAAGUAACUGUGCACAUCUUGACGGUACCUAAUCAGAAAGCCACGGCUAACUACAUG